AUUCUUCAGCAGCAUAUAUACUAAAAUUGGAAUGAUAUAGAGAAAACGGGCACAGUGCCUAUGCAAGGAUGACAUGCAAAUUUGUGAAGCAGUGCAUAUUUUA